UACAGAGGGUGCGAGCGUUAAUCGGAAUUACUGGGCGUAAAGCGUGCGUAGACGGCUAUCUAAGUCGGGUGUGAAAUCCCCGGGCUCAACCUGGGAACUGCAUUUGUGACUGCAUGGCUAGAGUACGGUAGAGGGGGAUGGAAUUCCGCGUGUAGCAGUGAAAUGCGUAGAUAUGCGGAGGAACACCGAUGGCGAAGGCAAUCCCCUGGGCCUGCACUGACGCUCAUGCACGAAAGCGUGGGGAGCAAACAGG
rnacentral:rRNA from 1 species